rnacentral:rRNA from 1 species
CAGUCGCCGCGGUAACACGUAGGGUGCAAGCGUUAAUCGGAAUUACUGGGCGUAAAGCGUGCGCAGGCGGUUUUGUAAGACAGAGGUGAAAUCCCCGGGCUCAACCUGGGAACUGCCUUUGUGACUGCAAGGCUAGAGUACGGCAGAGGGGGAUGGAAUUCCGCGUGUAGCAGUGAAAUGCGUAGAUAUGCGGAGGAACACCGAUGGCGAAGGCAAUCCCCUGGGCCUGUACUGACGCUCAUGCACGAAAGCGUGGGGAGCAAACAGGAUUAGAGACCCCCGUAGUCCCUGUCUCUUAUAC